AGCUCCAAUAGCCUAUAUUAAAUUUGUUGCAGUUUAAAAGCUCGUAGUUGAACUUGUGGUUUGUUUGGCUUGGUCCAACGCUCAUGCGUUGGUACCUGAGCCAUGCUCCCAUCCUUGGGUGGAACCUGUGUGGCAUUAGGUUGUUGUGCAGGGAAUGCCCAUCGUUUACUGUGAAAACAUUAGAGUGUUCAAAGCAGGCUUGUGCCGAUGAAUAUAUUAGCAUGGAAUAAUAAGAUAGGACUUUAGUACUAUUUUGUUGGUUUGUACACUAAAGUAAUGAUUAAUAGGGACAGUUGGGGGUAUUCGUAUUUAUUGUCAGAGGUGAAAUUCUUGGAUUUUUGGACGACGAACUACUGCAAAAGCAUUUACCAAGGAUGUUUUCA
rnacentral:rRNA from 1 species